GACGAACGCUGGCGGCGUGCUUAACACAUGCAAGUCGAACGGGCCUGUCUUCUUUUUUGGGGGUGGGUUGAGUGGCGAACGGGUGAGUAUCACGUGAGUAACCUGCCCUUCGGUCCUGGAUAACCGCUUGAAAGGGCGUCUAAUACGGGGUGGUCCGGUUGGUCCGCAUGGGCUGGUCGGGAUAGAUUCACUGUUUUUGGUGUUUCGGCGGGGGAUGGGCUCGCGGCCUAUCAGCUUGUUGGUGGGGUGAUGGCCUACCAAGGCGGUGACGGGUAGCCGGCCUGAGAGGGUGGGCGGCCACACUGGGACUGAGAUACGGCCCAGACUCCUGCGGGAGGCAGCAGUGGGGGGUAUUGCACAAUGGGCGGAAGCCUGAUGCAGCGACGUCGCGUGAGGGAUGGAGGCCUUCGGGUUGUGAACCUCUGUUUCCGGUGGUGAAGGCCCUGUCCGUGUGGUGGGGUUGACGGUAGCCGGGGAUGAAGCGCCGGCUAACUACGUG
rnacentral:rRNA from 1 species